rnacentral:rRNA from 1 species
AUUGAACGCUGGCGGCAUGCUUUACACAUGCAAGUCGAACGGUAACAGGCCGCAAGGUGCUGACGAGUGGCGAACGGGUGCGUAAUGCAUCGGAACGUGCCCAGUCGUGGGGGAUAACUACUCGAAAGAGUAGCUAAUACCUCAUACGAUCUAUGGAUGAAAGCGGGGGACCGUAAGGCCUCGCGCGAUUGGAGCGGCCGAUGUCAGAUUAGGUAGUUGGUGGGGUAAAGGCUCACCAAGCCAACGAUCUGUAGCUGGUCUGAGAGGACGACCAGCCACACUGGAACUGAGACACGGCCCAGACUCCUACGGGAGGCAGCAGUGGGGAAUUUUGGACAAUGGGCGCAAGCCUGAUCCAGCAAUGCCGCGUGCAGGAAGAAGGCCUUCGGGUUGUAAACUGCUUUUGUACGGAACGAAACGGCUCUGGUUAAUACCCGGGGCUAAUGACGGUACCGUAAGAAUAAGCACCGGCUAACUACGUG